CCCGCCGUAGCUCAGCGGUUAGAGCGCCCGGCUGUAGACCGGGUGGUCCAGGGUUCAAGUCCCUGCGGCGGGA
rnacentral:tRNA from 2 species